AUUUCUGAAUGUUAACGUGGGUUAUGAAGACAGACUCAGGCAGACUAUUAAGUUACUUUCCUUACUGCCAAGACGAACUCUGAAAAAGAAGUUAAGGAAUUCUUUUUCGUGAAAAAUACAAGCAUUUAGAUCCCAUUAUUCAUUCGGUUGUUUAGAUUCACUACUUAACGCAGAGGUGUAUAAAACUAGAAGAGUAUUCUGGUUGAAAGGAAAGCAAAAGCUAGACCUAGUAUGCCUAAUGUCAAACGACUAGUCAGUUUUUAUACAGAUCAGAUAAAGAGUUAUCCGGUUAUACUGAAGAAAUAUAAACAGGACGUUAGAUAUCCAAUCACCGUGCAGGGAAUAUGCACAGUUGGUUCCUUCCUUUUUUGUUUGUUUAGGGAGGAGAGUUCACAGGUAGUACAGCCCAGGUGAGUUAAGGAAGGGAGCUGUGUAACUGAAAAGAGAGGUGAUUAAAUGUUGAGACGCCGUGUGAUUGUGCCCUUUCAGAACUAAAUGAAAGUUAUGUUUGAACUGGACGUAUCUCAGUGUGAUAAGUCUGCGUUUGUUGGAAAAAUUGGUUUACUUACACACAAGGGAAAACAAAUGUAGGCGCGAGAGACGUGUUACUGCUACAGUUAACAAAAGUUGAAACCGAGCUCUCUGGAUUACUGAGAGAAAACAUUACAUCAGUGGCCAGCAGUUGUAUCCAGUUCCAGCAUACAGAAGGUGUUAAACCCAACCAAGGAUUUCAUGUUCUUCUUUGAGCCUGUAGUACAAAUUUGAGAGUGACUCGUAACGUGAAUACUGAGAAAGAGGGAAGCAGUUUACCAUUUGAAAUGACAUCUGCAACAUCACAGACACUGCAUUUCUAAUCCUUCCACCGGGAUUUCUGGGACAGUUGCCUGUUUUCACCUUUUUGAAGCUGUUUGCAGGAUAGUAUUCAUUGUAAGCAUUCAAGACGUCUGACAAAAUGAAUAUCCAGAUGCAGCCAUUGAGAGAACCUUCUGAAGAGACAUCAUCACUAGUUAACAAUGGCCAGGUA